UACGGAGGAUGCAAGCGUUAUCCGGAUUUAUUGGGUUUAAAGGGUGCGCAGGCGGCGCGUUAAGUCAGCGGUGAAAUGUCCCGGCUCAACCGGGGAGCUGCCGUUGAUACUGGCGUGCUGGAGUGCGAACGGCGCCGGCGGAAUGUGCAAUGUAGCGGUGAAAUGCAUAGAUAUUGCACAGAACACCGAUCGCGAAGGCAGCUGGCGAGGACGCAACUGACGCUGAGGCACGAAGGCGUGGGGAUCGAAC
rnacentral:rRNA from 1 species